AACGCACAUUGCGCCCCUUGGUAUUCCGGGGGGCAUGCCUGUUCGAGCGUCAUUAUCACCCCUCAAGCUCAGCUUGGUGUUGGGGCCUGCCCGUCACAGGGCAGCCCCUAAAAGCAGUGGCGGUGCCAUCUGGCUCUAAGCGUAGUAAUACUCCUCGCUAUAGACGUUAGGUGGUGUCCUGCCAGAACCCCCCAUAUUUUUAAUGAUUGACCUCGGAUCAGGUAGGGAUACCCGCUGAACUUAA
rnacentral:misc_RNA from 1 species